rnacentral:rRNA from 1 species
GACAGAGGAGCCAAGCGUUGUCCGGAUUGACUGGGCGUAAAGCGCACGCAGGCGGCCGUGCACGUGGGGUGUGAAAGCGCUCGGCUUAACUGAGCGAUGCCACCUCAUACGGCAGGGCUCGAGCCCGUGAGAGGUCCACGGAAUUGCCGGUGUAGUGGUGAAAUGCGUAGAGAUCGGCAGGAACACCCAGGGGGAAACCAGUGGACUGGCACGGUGCUGACGCUCAGGUGCGAAAGCGUGGGGAGCGAACAGG